CCGAGCCCGAAGGGCGCCGAGGCGUUAUUGGGGGGCAGGGGCGGCCGCCGGGGCCCUGCUCGCCUGUGGCACGACUGGCGGGCGCCGGGCUGCCAUUUUGUCACCGUGGCUGUUGUCGCUGUGGGGGGGUGUGCAGAGUCUUGCGCCAUCGCCCCGACGGCCCCGGACGUGGAGGCAGCAGGGGAAGCCGGCUCCGGGGACCCCGGGUUGUGCUCUGGGCCCCGAGGGGGGGUUCCCUCCCCGCGACAACGGCCUGAGGCUCUGCUGGAGCGUCGCGGCGGCGGUCGCCCUGGGAGGGCGGCGAUCCUCUCAGCAAGUGCUCCCCCCCACCCCCCAUCGCGCUCCCUAUCUCCCCCGCCCCUCUUCUCGCCAGUGUUUCGCCCUUCCUCCCGCUGGCGUUUUAGACAUAGUGAAAUGUGGCCCUGAAGACGUGCUGGUCGCCCCGGAGUUUGCUCUUUCGGAGGAACUGAUAGGAGGGUUGGGGGAAAAAUUAAACAUGAGGUUUCUUUUUCGGGAGGGGGGCGCGCGCGCGACUCUAGCGGCCCUGACUGGAGCCAAGGACAGCAGCCGCUUACCCGGGAGGGACGAGUUGUCGAUGUGUUGGGGAAACGCCCUCCGGGGCUGGGCUCUCCGGGAAGGUAGGUCGCGCUCCGGGUUUCAGGUGGGUGUUGCAGCGCCCUGCAGUCUGCUAGGGGAGCCCCCUCCCCCCGUCUUCCUCUGCCCCUCCCCCUUUUAUUUUUUGCCUUGGGGAAGGCAGUUUACGGUAGUAAACGUCACCCUAAACCGAAAAGGGAAGGGAAUAAGGCUUGCUUUUUAAAAAAGUAAGUGAUGUCUUUCUGCCGACCGCCUUUCUGCGUCACGUCUCUGGCUUCUCUCCGGGACUUUUUAAAAGCCGAUGUCAGCGCUGGUUAAGCACCUCACUGGUUAAAGUCUGGUGUCUGCAUGAGACUAGCUUUGAUGGCAGUGCCCGGCAGAGGCUGCCCAGGAAGCCAGGUUUUAACUUUGACCUUUGGAAUACGUCGCAUGAUGUUUUCCAGGCUGACUUACUGCCUAAUUGGGUUCAUGUAGCCUGAUAUUAACUCCAGUUUAUGCAAGCCAACCAAGGAUCCCCAGGCAGAAGACUGAGCUCCAGCUCGGUUUGGUCAUGGUCGGUUAUGUUUUGUUAAUGGAUGUGCUGCUGCUGCUGCUGCUGUUAGUUUCGAGUCUGGGGGCUCCAUCGUGAAGCUGAGUUUUGGAGCCCCCACGGACCUGAGUUUGAAUUCUGACUGCUACAGAGAGGUGCUCAGUAUGUGAUAGUGUUAUUGGAGAGAGAACUGCCGUACCAUGAGGCACAACUUUGAGCUUCUCUCUGGUUCUGGACAACAACAACAACAAUAAUAGUGAAUGCUCACACAGCCCCACCCUGUGCCUGGCACAAUUCUAAGUGGAUUAGACAGAUGAAUUAAACUAGUCCCCACAGCAGCACUGUGAGGUAGGUACUAUUGUUAUUCUCGUAUUACACACAGGGAAAUUGAGGCAGAGAGAACUUACCACAGGCAGUCUGCAUACUCCGCUUCUUAGUCUCUGUUCCCUCCCCUGAAGCACCCUUUUUUGUCAGACACCGAGGGGAAGAGCUUUUUCUUCUCUGGCUUUAAAACAGUGCCACCUUAUGAGGGAUUGAGUUUCCUGUCACUGAAGGUACCGACAUGAACCCGGGAUGGCCUCCCGGUUGGAGAUACUGAGGUGGAUGGUCAGGACCAGGGGCUCUGAUACAGGGGAAACUGUACACUUUCUGAGUUUGGUUUAGAACAUCACAUCUGUUUAGGCUGAAAUAAGUCUGUCCUUUUAGGUGUUGGAGUAUACAUUUUGGGUAAUGAGAAGACUCUUAGGCAGUGGUUUGUAUGGGAUUUUGCAUGUAAUGCAUUUUCCAUUUUUGUCACCAUCUACAGCCAGAAAACUGAAGAGAAUUGGCAUGGCCUCUGUACCUAAGAUGCAGUAUACUAAUAACAACUCAAGGAUCAUCUCCCUUAGUUCUCCUUAACAACUCGUCAAGGUUAGGCAAAGCAGUGUGACAUCCUCCAUGUUGCGAGGGUGGUCACUUUAUACAACAGAGUUGAGUUCUCGUCCCACCGUUAAGCCAGGGGCCCCUUUAGUUGGACAGUAGGGACUCUUGAGAGUUGUGUGGUCCAUUAGGUCCCAAACAUGGCCCCUCAUCAGAAUCAUCUGGGGAGCGUGUAAAAUGCAGAUCCCACAAGGGUCGUGAAAUUCAGGGUGAGCUGCCUGCUUCAGUAUCAUGAGCUAAGAAUAAUCUGGACACAGAAACGUUGCAAUCAAUGUGAUGAUGUGGAACACUUAACUUUGAAUCUCCAUUAAGUGAAAUGUUAUCCCCCCAAAAGAAUUCCACUUGUCUUGUUAGAUGGUUAUAACCCUUCCACCCCCCAAAUUGUAUUCAUUAUAGAUCUUGAAUUUUGUCAAUAAAAGAAUUGUGGAAA